GACAGAGGAUGCAAGCGUUAUCCGGAAUGAUUGGGCGUAAAGCGUCUGUAGGUGGCUUUUUAAGUCAGGGGUGAAAUCCUGGAGCUCAACUCCAGAACUGCCUUUGAUACUGGGAGCUUGAGUCCGGAAGAGGCGAGUGGAACUCCUGGUGUAGCGGUGGAAUGCGCAGAUAUCAGGAAGAACACCAACGGCGAAGGCAGCUCGCUGGGACGGUACUGACGCUAAGGCGCGAAAGCGUGGGGAGCGAACAGG
rnacentral:rRNA from 1 species